rnacentral:rRNA from 1 species
AUUGAAUGAUGGAGGAAGGAAGAACACAUGCAAGUCGAGCGGACGAAGGGAGCUUGCUCCUGGAUUCAGCGGCGGACGGGUGAGUAAUGCCUAGGAAUCUGCCUGGUAGUGGGGGAUAACGUCCGGAAACGGGCGCUAAUACCGCAUACGUCCUGAGGGAGAAAGUGGGGGAUCUUCGGACCUCACGCUAUCAGAUGAGCCUAGGUCGGAUUAGCUAGUUGGUGGGGUAAAGGCCUACCAAGGCGACGAUCCGUAACUGGUCUGAGAGGAUGAUCAGUCACACUGGAACUGAGACACGGUCCAGACUCCUACGGGAGGCAGCAGUGGGGAAUAUUGGACAAAGGGCGAAAGCCUGAUCCAGCCAUGCCGCGUGUGUGAAGAAGGUCUUCGGAUUGUAAAGCACUUUAAGUUGGGAGGAAGGGCAGUAAGUUAAUACCUUGCUGUUUUGACGUUACCAACAGAAUAAGCACCGGCUAACUUCGUG